GCUGGGCGUGGUGGUGCAUGCCUGUAAUCCCAGCUACUUGGGAGGCUGAGGCAGGAGAAUCGCUUGAACCUGGGAGGCGGAGGUUGCAGUGAGCCGAGAUUGUGCCACUGCACUCCAGCCUGGGUGACAGAGCGAGACUCUGUCUCAA
rnacentral:SRP_RNA from 1 species